GUCUACAGCCUGGCUACCCUGAACAAGCCCGAUCUCAUCUCAUCUCGGAAGCUAAGCAGGGUCAGGCCUGGUUAGUACUUGGAUGGGACAGCAUCUAAGAAGACCAGAUGCUGUAGGUA
rnacentral:rRNA from 1 species